AUACGGAGGGGGUUAGCGUUGUUCGGAAUUACUGGGCGUAAAGCGCACGUAGGCGGACUGGAAAGUUGGGGGUGAAAUCCCGGGGCUCAACCUCGGAACUGCCUCCAAAACUUCCAAUCUAGAGAUCGAGAGAGGUGAGUGGAAUUCCAAGUGUAGAGGUGAAAUUCGUAGAUAUUUGGAGGAACACCAGUGGCGAAGGCGGCUCACUGGCUCGAUGCUGACGCUGAGGUGCGAAAGCGUGGGGAGCAAACAGGAUUAGAAACCCCGGUAGUCC
rnacentral:rRNA from 1 species